UAUCUGUACGCUCACGUACAGGCUGCCGGGAAUACUGCAGAGCUAGGGAGUGGGAGAGGUAGACGGUACUCGGGAGGAAGUGGUAAAAUGCUUUGAUCUUUCGAUGACCACCUGUGGCGAAGGCGGUCUACCAGAACACGUCCGACGGUGAGGGAUGAAAGCUGGGGGAGCAAACCGGAUUAGAUACCCGGGUAGUCCCAGCUGUAAACUAUGCAAACUCAGUGAUGCAUUGGCUUGUGGCCAAUGCAGUGUUGCAGGGAAGCCGUUAAGUUUGCCGCCUGGGAAGUACGUACGCAAGUAUGAAACUUAAAGGAAUUGGCGGGGGAGCACCACAAGGGGUGAAGCCUGCGGUUCAAUUGGAGUCAACGCCAGAAAUCUUACCCGGAGAGACAGCAGAAUGAAGGUCAAGCUGAAGACUUUACCAGACAAGCUGAGAGGUGGUGCAUGGCCGUCGCCAGCUCGUGCCGUGAGAUGUCCUGUUAAGUCAGGUAACGAGCGAGAUCCCUGCCUCUAGUUGCCACCAUUACUCUCAGGAGUAGUGGGGCGAAUUAGCGGGACCGCCGCGUUUAAUGCGGAGGAAGGAAGGGGCCACGGCAGGUCAGUAUGCCCCGAA
rnacentral:rRNA from 1 species